GUACACAAAAAUGCACAUACUGUGAGCUCGAUGAGUAGGGCGGGACACGUGGUAUCCUGUCUGAAUAUGGGGGGACCAUCCUCCAAGGCUAAAUACUCCUGACUGACCGAUAGUGAACCAGUACCGUGAGGGAAAGGCGAAAAGAACCCCGGCGAGGGGAGUGAAAAAGAACCUGAAACCGUGUACGUACAAGCAGUGGGAGCCUCUUAAUGGGGUGACUGCGUACCUUUUGUAUAAUGGGUCAGCGACUUAUAUUCUGUAGCAAGGUUAACCGAAUAGGGGAGCCGAAGGGAAACCGAGUCUUAACUGGGCGUUAAGUUGCAGGGUAUAGACCCGAAACCCGGUGAUCUAGCCAUGGGCAGGUUGAAGGUUGGGUAACACUAACUGGAGGACCGAACCGACUAAUGUUGAAAAAUUAGCGGAUGACUUGUGGCUGGGGGUGAAAGGCCAAUCAAACCGGGAGAUAGCUGGUUCUCCCCGAAAGCUAUUUAGGUAGCGCCUCGUGAAUUCAUCUCCGGGGGUAGAGCACUGUUUCGGCAAGGGGGUCAUCCCGACUUACCAACCCGAUGCAAACUGCGAAUACCGGAGAAUGUUAUCACGGGAGACACACGGCGGGUGCUAACGUCCGUCGUGAAGAGGGAAACAACCCAGACCGCCAGCUAAGGUCCCAAAGUCAUGGUUAAGUGGGAAACGAUGUGGGAAGGCCCAGACAGCCAGGAUGUUGGCUUAGAAGCAGCCAUCAUUUAAAGAAAGCGUAAUAGCUCACUGGUCGAGUCGGCCUGCGCGGAAGAUGUAACGGGGCUAAACCAUGCACCGAAGCUGCGGCAGCGACACUAUGUGUUGUUGGGUAGGGGAGCG
rnacentral:rRNA from 1 species